CGCUGCUGGCAGAGUUGCUACUAUUGAUGUCUCUAUUUUAUAUUUUCUAGCCGCGGCAAAUUCAGAUUAUAGAUGGACUUAUGAGAACCCAACAAAUGAAGACUGCCAAGGAGAUAUCCUGACUCAGUGAUCAAAUUAUGCCUUGACUAUGCCUCCUUCCUGGGGAGCAGUAGCUCCCUUUGGGGUAGCACAAACCCCACCUCCUCCAUUGGUGGACUUUCUGCCCUGGCCUCCUCUAUCCUCAUCUGUAAAAGGGGUAUAAGCAUGUUUCCCCUCUUUUGUAAAGAGCUUUAAUAUCUGUAAAUGUAAAGCACUAUACAAGUCCAGAAAUAUAUAUAAAUAUAAAAUCAUAUUUAUUAUUAAUUAACCACAGCCCAACACUAGAUUUUUUUUCUGGCGGUCUUGUUUUCUGCCUCUGACAGACAGUGGGUUUUGUUUUCGUCAAGAUAGAUUUGGGUUUGGGCUAAUAAUGGAGGUGUCUGAGGAGCAAGGGGUUUAAUCAUAGUCCUCGCAUUCUUAGCCACAGACUCCUCUCUUUGCCUUACCCCUGUGAAUAUACACAGGAGUAAUUUGGUGGCAGUGCAGAAUCAGUCCCCUGCACUCCCUGUUCAGUUCAGCAUGUUUAAUCUGUGCAGUACUUUGCACUUGCUCUGUGCAAAAUAAAGCCUAGCGGCUCAAGACACAUAAAGUGUGCGUACGCUAUUUCUUGUUAGUUACUUUGCUUAAUAAUCAUACUGAUUAGUUUCCAGAAAUUUUUACUUCACUGUCAGAAACACUUUCUCACCCAUUUAGCUAAGUUUCCUGAUGUUUCUGCUCAAUGUUAAUCAGGUUGUCUGUUUUGAAGUUUCCAUAUUGGAGUUUUUACCUAAGGAUAUAAAAUCUGAGUGGUAUAAAAACUGGGCCAAGUUACUUGAAGAAAACCAUGUCAUAAAAACUCUCAUUGGUGAAAAUGGUUUGUUUUUCUACAAGUAAAAUAAAAUUUACUCCAAAUGCAACUGACAGAGGGAGAAGGAUCAGAUGUGAGGUUAUUAAUCCAACAACUCACUCCCGUAUAGAGAGAGCCUUUGAACUGAAACUCAGAGGUAACAUGGUAUUUGCUUUCCCCUUUAAAGAUUUCUCAACUAGCUGUGAACGAAUACCUACUCUGACGGUAAAUCAGAACCACACAAAGCCAUCAACAAGAAUACCGAUGAUAUCUACAUUUCCUGGUUUAAGGGGAAAUAUCUCACUGACACAGGAAUAGAAAAUGCUGAGUCUGAGAGUGGUUUUAGUUUCUCUGUGACGUUUAAAGCUGAAGAACAAAAUAAAGAAUGCAAGGUCAGAUGUGAGGCUGAUACUGAAGAUGGACCACUAGAAGAAACAUACAUUUUAAAACUUGGAUAAUCUCCAUACAGUGAAGAAGGUGGACAUCAAACAGCAACUCUAUCCCUGACUUUCUAGGGUUCAAUGAACAGUUACUCUGUUCCUUUUAAACUUCUAACCAGAAUGACAGUUAUUAUGAGACAGCAUACACAUGCCAUGGAUGGGAGAACUGGUUCUGAUAUAAUUAAAAAUGAUCUGAACCUCUGCCCAAAAUCCAGACCCAGAAAGAGAGAAAAUUGGGAAAGAAAUCUGAUACACUGGUGGAGGGUGGCAGCAGAAAUCUCAAGUUCAUAUCUCAGCUGGGAUCCAGGAAUGUACCAUUUGUUGGACCUCCAUGGACCUCAUUCUGACAGACGUCUCAAAUAAAGCUGAUUGGAAUUUCUCUCUCUCCCUGCCCCCCUUUGCUGGAAAACAUUGACCAAAAACACUUCUAUCUUGUUUUUGUCAAAAAGCUAAAAUAUUUGGCCAAAAUCCAGAAUUGAAAUACUUUGGGAUUUGGCCAAAUAUUUCAGUUCUGAAAUGCUGCUAGAGUGCUUUAUGGGAGCUGCAGUUUGGGUGCUUCAUGCCCCCAUUCUCCUCUAUAGGCAAGGCUCACUGGUUGGACUACACAGGGGAAGGGAGGCAGUGCACCACGGUACUCUCAUGGCAGCAGUGUAUAAUGCGAAUUGAAGUAUGGCUGGAGAAUCUGACCCAGAAUGAAAAAUAGGAACACAAAGCACCUGAGCUACAACUCCCAGGUGCCAUCAAGAUGGCAUUUCAGAAUAUAAGUAUUUUGUUUUUUUGCUAUAAUAUUUCAGUUUUCAGAUGU